AGUCGAACGGUGAAGCAGAGCUUGCUCUGUGGAUCAGUGGCGAACGGGUGAGUAACACGUGAGCAACCUGCCCCUGACUCUGGGAUAAGCGCUGGAAACGGCGUCUAAUACUGGAUAUGAGCUGCGAUCGCAUGGUCAGCAGUUGGAAAGAUUUUUCGGUCUGGGAUGGGCUCACGGCCUAUCAGCUUGUUGGUGAGGUAAUGGCUCACCAAGGCGUCGACGGGUAGCCGGCCUGAGAGGGUGACCGGCCACACUGGGACUGAGACACGGCCCAGACUCCUACGGGAGGCAGCAGUGGGGAAUAUUGCACAAUGGGCGAAAGCCUGAUGCAGCAACGCCGCGUGAGGGAUGACGGCCUUCGGGUUGUAAACCUCUUUUAGC
rnacentral:rRNA from 1 species